GAUGAACGCUGGCGGCGUGCCUAAUACAUGCAAGUCGAGCGAACGGACGAGAAGCUUGCUUCUCUGAUGUUAGCGGCGGACGGGUGAGUAACACGUGGAUAACCUACCUAUAAGACUGGGAUAACUUCGGGAAACCGGAGCUAAUCCCGGAUAAUAUUUUGAACCGCAUGGUUCAAAAGUGAAAGACGGUCUUGCUGUCACUUAUCGAUGGAUCCGCGCUGCAUUAGCUAGUUGGUAAGGUAACGGCUUACCAAGGCAACGAUGCAUAGCCGACCUGAUAGGGUGAUCGGCCACACUGGAACUGAGACGCGGUCCAGACUCCUACGGGAGGCAGCAGUAGGGAAUCUUCCGCAAUGGGCGAAAGCCUGACGGAGCAACGCCGCGUGAGUGAUAGAGGUCUUCGGAUCGUAAAACUCUGUUAUUAGGGAAGAACAUAUGUGUAAUGAACUGUGCACAUCGUGACGGUACCUAGUCAGAAAGCCACGGCUAACUACGUG
rnacentral:rRNA from 1 species